rnacentral:rRNA from 1 species
GUUUUAUAGAUUUUAAUUUUAGAUUUGACCUGCUCUAUGAUUUAUUUAAAAUUAAAUGGCUGCGGUAUUUUAACUGUACUAAGGUAGCAUAAUCAUUUGUCUUUUAAUUGGAGGCUAGAAUGAAUGGUUGGACGAAAUACUUGCUUUUUUGUAUUAAUAUUUUGAAUUUUAUUUUUUAGUUAAAAAGCUUAAAUUUUUUUAUGGGACGAGAAGACCCUAUAGAAUUUAAUUAUUUUUUUUUAGCUUUAUUUAUUUAUUUUAUUUAGUUGGUUUUUUUAAAAUAAUUUUGUUGGGGUGAUAUAAAAAUUUCUUUAACUUUUUUUUUGUUUUUCAUCAGUUAUUGUUUUUUUGAUCCUAAAUUUUGGAUUAUAAGAUUAAAUUACCUUAGGGAUAACAGCGUUAUUUUUUUGGAGAGUUCUAAUCGAUAAAAAAGUUUGCGA